GACGAACGCUGGCGGCGUGCUUAAUACAUGCAAGUCGAACGGAAAGGCCCUGCUUUUGUGGGGUGCUCGAGUGGCGAACGGGUGAGUAACACGUGAGUAACCUGUCCUUGACUUUGGGAUAACUUCAGGAAACUGGGGCUAAUACCGGAUAGGAGCUCUUGCUGCAUGGUGGGGGUUGGAAAGUUUCGGUGGUUGGGUAUGGACUCGCGGCUUCUCAGCUUGUUGGUGGGGUAGUGGAUUACCAAGGUUUUGAGGGGUAGCGGGCCUGAGGGGGUGACCGGCCACAUUGGGACUGAGGGACGGCACAGACUCCUACGGGAGGCAGCAGUGGGGAAUAUUGCACAAUGGGCGGAAGCCUGAUGCAGCAACGCCGCGGGCGGGAUAACGGCCUUCGGGGGGUAAACCGCUUUCGCCUGUGACGAAGCGUGAGUGACGGUAAUGUGUAAAGAAGCACCGGCUAACUACGUG
rnacentral:rRNA from 1 species